rnacentral:rRNA from 1 species
UAAACAUUGAUAGUAUACUACAACUACUAUCCGCCAGGGAACUACGAGCAUUAGCUUAAAACCCAAAGGACUUGGCGGUGCUUAAGAUCCACCUAGAGGAGCCUGUUCUAGAACCGAUAACCCCCGUUCAACCUCACCCCCCCUUGCUUUACAGCCUAUAUACCGCCGUCGUCAGCUUACCCCGUGAAGGUAAAAUAGUGAGCAAAACUGGCCUACCCCUAAACGUCAGGUCGAGGUGUAGCAUAUGGGAGGGGAAGAAAUGGGCUACAUUUACUAAUUUAGUAAAUACGAAUAAUGCAGUGAAAUACGCAUUUGAAGGAGGAUUUAGUAGUAAGUGGAAAAUAGAGCGUUCCACUGAAUUUGGCCCUAAAGCGCGCACACACCGCCCGUCACUCUCCCCGAACUACCAACCCAAAAAUAACUAAUACCCCACAACUGUAAAGGGGAGGCAAGUCGUAACAUGGUAAGUGUACUGGAAGGUGCACUUGGAAAACU